rnacentral:tRNA from 1 species
GAGACACUAGUAAAACCAUUACAAUGCCUUGUCAAGGCAUAAUUGCGGGCUAGCCUCCCGCGUGUCUUU